rnacentral:rRNA from 1 species
UAUGUGAUCGUCUCUCGCAUAUCAAUAAGCGGAGGAAAAGAAACUAACAAGGAUUCCCCUAGUAACGGCGAGUGAAGCGGGAAGAGCUCAAAUUUGAAAUCUUAAAGGGUUUCCCUUUACGAAUUGUAGUUUAAAGAAGUGUUUUCUGUUGAGGUUUUGGUAAAAGUUCUUUGGAAUAGGACAUCAUAGAGGGUGAGAGUCCCGUAUUUGACCUUUACUUUCAACUUUGUGAUACACUUUCAAAGAGUCGGAUUGUUUGGGAAUGCAGUCCAAAAUGGGUGGUAAAUUUCAUCUAAAGCUAAAUAUUGGCGAGAGACCGAUAGCGAACAAGUACCGUGAGGGAAAGAUGAAAAGAACUUUGAAAAGAGAGUUAAACAGUACGUGAAAUUGUCAAAAGGGGAAGCGUUUGACACCAGUGUUGUUUUUCUGAAAAUCAAUUAAAGAACUGUUUAUGCUAAGUUGUUUAGACUUUAUCAGCUAUCUGUUUAGAUUUGAGCUUUUCUUUAAUGCACUUUUCAGUUAACAAGUCAACAUCAAUUUCUUUUGCUGUAAAAAAGCUUGAGGAAGGUGGCUUGAGAUUCGUCUUAAGUGUUUAUAGCCUCUUGCCUAUGCAGUCGGAGAGAUUGAGGUCUGCAGCGUAGAUCCUUCGGGGCUAAAUGCAUUUGUGCUAAGUUAUAGCAUUUUAUAGACAACUUGUUGACUAUGAUUUGUCUUGUAGCUUACUCGCUUAUGUUAUUUUACCUACGCUUAGGAUGUUGAUAUCGCGCUCUCACUG